UAAAUCGACCGCCUGGGGAGUACGGCCGCAAGGUUAAAACUCAAAUGAAUUGACGGGGGCCCGCACAAGCGGUGGAGCAUGUGGUUUAAUUCGAUGCAACGCGAAGAACCUUACCUGGUCUUGACAUCCACAGAACUUUCCAGAGAUGGAUUGGUGCCUUCGGGAACUGUGAGACAGGUGCUGCAUGGCUGUCGUCAGCUCGUGUUGUGAAAUGUUGGGUUAAGUCCCGCAACGAGCGCAACCCUUAUCCUUUGUUGCCAGCGGUCCGGCCGGGAACUCAAAGGAGACUGCCAGUGAUAAACUGGAGGAAGGUGGGGAUGACGUCAAGUCAUCAUGGCCCUUACGACCAGGGCUACACACGUGCUACAAUGGCAUAUACAAAGAGAAGCGACCUCGCGAGAGCAAGCGGACCUCAUAAAGUAUGUCGUAGUCCGGAUUGGAGUCUGCAACUCGACUCCAUGAAGUCGGAAUCGCUAGUAAUCGUAGAUCAGAAUGCUACGGUGAAUACGUUCCCGGGCCUUGUACACACCGCCCGUCACACCAUGGGAGUGGGUUGCAAAAGAAGUAGGUAGCUUAACCUUCGGGAGGGCGCUUACCACUUUGUGAUUCAUGACUGGGGUGAAGUCGUAACAAGGUAACCGUAGGGGAACCUGCGGUUGGAUCACCUCCUUACCUUAAAGAA
rnacentral:rRNA from 1 species